rnacentral:rRNA from 1 species
AUACGUAGGGGGCGAGCGUUGUCCGGAAUGAUUGGGCGUAAAGGGCGCGUAGGCGGCCUGUUAAGUCUGGAGUGAAAGUCCUGUUUUCAAGAUGGGAAUUGCUUUGGAUACUGAUGGGCUUGAGUGCAGAAGAGGUUAUCGGAAUUCCCGGUGUAGCGGUGAAAUGCGUAGAGAUCGGGAGGAACACCAGUGGCGAAGGCGGGUAACUGGACUGCAACUGACGCUGAGGCGCGAAAGCAUGGGUAGGGAACAGGAGUAGAUACCCUGGUAGGCCAUGCCGUAAAGGGUGGGCGCGAGGUGUAGGGGGCUUCCACGACUUCUGUGCCGUAGCUAACGCAUUAAGCGCCCCGCCUGGGGAGUACGGCCGCAAGGCUAAAACUCAAAGUAAUUGACGGGG